GAACUUGUGGCGCAAUGUUAGCGCGUCUGACUCCAGAUCAGAAGGCCACGUGUUCAAAUCACGUCAAGGUCA